CCCGAAAUUUCGAACCGGGGAGAUUCAUCGUCAGCGGCGUCGGCUUUGCCGCGGCCCGCGAUGCCGUGGACCUCGCGUCCACGGCACACGGUCGCGCGAUGCCCGGAGUCGCCGGCGUGCACUUCUCCCCUAGUAGAACGUCGCGACCCGUUGGGCGUCGGUCUACGGCCCGUCACCGGUAGCCUGUCCUCGGCGCUCACGCGCCGGGGGCAGACCGGUCGGUUGCCCGGCCGGCUGCCCGGCGGUACACGCACGGUAUAGAGCCGCAUUCGAAAUGCGUCCCGGUCCGCCGCAAGCGCGGUCAGCGUUCACCGGUGGACGGCCUAGCGCCGUCCCCGUGCCUGGCCAGCUGUUCGCAGGCGGUCUCCUCGGACGGGCUCUCUCGAACGAUAAUAUACCGGUCGGCGACGCUAUUGCUUUGGGUACUCUCA
rnacentral:rRNA from 1 species